GAGAGUUUGAUUAUGGCUCAGGAUGAACGCUGGCGGCGUGCCUAACACAUGCAAGUCGAGCGAGAAAUGAAGAGAAGAAACUUCGGUAGAUUUUCAUCAUGGAAAGCGGCGGACGGGUGAGUAACGCGUAGGCAACCUGCCCCGUACAGGGGGAUAGCCAUCGGAAACGAUGAUUAAGACCCCAUAAAGCGGAAUAUACACAUGUAAAAACCGUCAAAGAUUUAUCGGUAUGGGAUGGGCCUGCGUCUGAUUAGAUAGUUGGUAGGGUAACGGCCUACCAAGUCAACGAUCAGUAGCCGACCUGAGAGGGUGAACGGCCACAUUGGAACUGAGACACGGUCCAAACUCCUACGGGAGGCAGCAGUGGGGAAUAUUGCACAAUGGAGGGAACUCUGAUGCAGCAACGCCGCGUGAAGGAAGAAGGUCUUCGGAUCGUAAACUUCUGUCCAAAAGGAAGAAGGAAGUGACGGUACUUUUGGAGGAAGCCCCGGCUAACUACGUGCCAGCAGCCGCGGUAAUACGUAGGGGGCAAGCGUUAUCCGGAAUUAUUGGGCGUAAAGAGUGCGUAGGUGGUCACUUAAGCGCAGGGUUCAAGGCAAUGGCUCAACCAUUGUAUGCCCUGCGAACUGGGCGACUUGAGUGCAGGAGAGGAAAGUGGAAUUCCUAGUGUAGCGGUGAAAUGCGUAGAUAUUAGGAGGAACACCGGUGGCGAAGGCGACUUUCUGGACUGAAACUGACACUGAGGCACGAAAGCGUGGGGAGCAAACAGGAUUAGAUACCCUGGUAGUCCACGCCGUAAACGAUGAGCACCAGGUGUCGGGGUCGCAAGACCUCGGUGCCGCAGUUAACGCAUUAAGUGCUCCGCCUGGGGAGUACGUUCGCAGAUAAAACUCAAAGGAAUUGACGGGACCCGCACAGCAGCGGAGCAUGUGGUUUAAUUCGAAGCACGCGAGACCUUACAGGGCUGACAUCCUUCUGCCGUACCGUAAAGGGUAUUUCCUACGGGACAGAAGAGACAGUGGUGCAUCUGGUCGUCAGCUCGGUCUGAAUGUGAUUAGGUCCGCAACGAGCCAACUUGCCUAGUGCAUCUUAGUGGCACCUAAGGACUGCCGGGAACACCUCGGAGUG
rnacentral:rRNA from 1 species